rnacentral:lncRNA from 1 species
CCUUGUCAUAGCGCGUGUGCAACAAGACGGAGGUCGUCCUAAUUCCACGGUCCAUAAUCGAUCAUCUUGCACAUGUCGUGAUCAUGGAAAAAUCAGAAUAGGAUGAGGUGAUUACCAAGGAUGUCGAUCUCAACCCCGCGGCCUAGUUCCCAGAGAUUAGAGAGCUUCAGCUUCAUGGCUGGAAAGUUGACUGUUCUUUUCGUCAGGAACAAACCUAUGAUGCAGAACUUGUACUCCUAUGGAGGUGGUUGCGGGACCAGUUUUUUCAUGGCCAUCUCAUCCUCCUCACGGUCUUCGAUACCAAAGUCUUUGACCUUCCUCUCCAUAGUCCCGGCAUCGGUAACGACAAUCAUGGCCAUUAGACGCGGCAUCAACGACAAGAGCCAAUCGGUAGUGGUAGUGGUGAC